GCAUUGGUGGUUCAGAGGUGGAAUGCUCGCUUGCCAAGCUGAUGAUCCGGGAUCAACUCCCGGCCAACGCA